rnacentral:rRNA from 1 species
GUAGGUGGCAAGCGUUGUCCGGAAUUAUUGGGCGUAAAGCGCGCGCAGGCGGUUCGUUUAAGUCUGAUGUGAAAGCCCACGGGCUCAACCGUGGAGGGUCAUUGGAAACUGGAGAACUUGAGUACAGAAGAGGAAAGCGGAAUUCCACGUGUAGCGGUGAAAUGCGUAGAGAUGUGGAGGAACACCAGUGGCGGAGGCGGCUUUCUGGUCUGUAACUGACGCUGAGGCGCGAAAGCGUGGGGAGCAAACAGGAUUAGAUACCCUGGUAGUCCACGCCGUAAACGAUGAGUGCUAAGUGUUAGGGGGGUUUCCGCCCCUUAGUGCUGCAGCUAACGCAUUAAGCACUCCGCCUGGGGAGUACGGCCGCAAGGCUG